rnacentral:misc_RNA from 1 species
UGCCCGUUAUAAUUGCAGAGGAAAUAGAUUUUAUCAUAGGAUCAAAUACAUCAGAAAGUAUGCUCUCUG